AUGUACCAUUCGUACAUUCCGUUUCCUGUGCGCCGUUUGCACCUGAUAACUGCCGCCUACGUUUUGUCCGCC
rnacentral:sRNA from 2 species